UGCGGCAAAGCUGCAGCCAAAGUUUAUCCCACUGCGCGGUUGCUCCUGACGAUGGCGAGGUUGUGCCCAGGCUUCCCCCCGCCCCCCAACCCCCCCGCACGAAGUUACAGUGAUUUCAAGGCUGCAGCUCACCUGCUCUGCCGACCCCCCACGCGACCUGUUCUUUUGAAUGUUUUAUUUUUAAGUAAUCUCUACAUCCAACGUGGGGCUCAAACUCAUAAUCCCAACCAAGAUCAAGAGUCAUAUGCUUCACCAGCUGAGCCAGCCAGUUAAAGAACAGAAUGUCCUGGGUUUUUCUUCCUGAACUAUCUGAGUGGAAGCUGGCUGACCUGUAGAGAGUCCCAUGGAGCAAGGAGCUGAGGGAGCCUCCUGGACAACAGCCAUGGAGGUACUGAGGCCCUGUCAGCAGCUCCUGAGGAACUAAAUCCUGCUGACAACCAUGUGAUCAGGCUGGGAAGCCGACGCUCCCCAGGCUGAGCCUUCAGAUUGGAGCUUUGUGAGAGACCGAGCCAGAAGCACCCAGCUAGGCUGUGCCCAGAUUCCUGACACACAAAAACUGAUUUAAUAAAUGUUUGUUCUGA